GACGUAGGGUCCGAGCGUUGUUCGGAGUUACUGGGCGUAAAGGGCGCGUAGGCGGCGCACCAAGUCAGGCGUGAAAGCCCUGGGCUCAACCCGGGAAUUGCGCUUGAGACUGGUGUGCUUGAGUACGGGAGAGGAUAGUGGAAUUCCCAGUGUAGAGGUGAAAUUCGUAGAUAUUGGGAAGAACACCGGUGGCGAAGGCGGUGGUCUGGGCCUGAACUGACGCUGAGGAGCGAAAGCCAGGGGAGCAAACGGG
rnacentral:rRNA from 1 species